rnacentral:rRNA from 1 species
AUUGAACGCUGGCGGCAGGCCUAACACAUGCAAGUCGAGCGGAUGCAGGGAGCUUGCUCCUGGAUUCAGCGGCGGACGGGUGAGUAAUGCCUAGGAAUCUGCCUGGUAGUGGGGGAUAACGUCCGGAAACGGGCGCUAAUACCGCAUACGUCCUGAGGGAGAAAGUGGGGGAUCUUCGGACCUCACGCUAUCAGAUGAGCCUAGGUCGGAUUAGCUAGUUGGUGGGGUAAAGGCCUACCAAGGCGACGAUCCGUAACUGGUCUGAGAGGAUGAUCAGUCACACUGGAACUGAGACACGGUCCAGACUCCUACGGGAGGCAGGAGUGGGGAAUAUUGGACAAUGGGCGAAAGCCUGAUCCAGCCAUGCCGCGUGGGUGAAGAAGGGCUUCGGAUUGUAAAGCACUUUAAGUUGGGAGGAAGGGCAGUAAGUUAAUACCUUGCUGUUUUGACGUUACCAACAGAAUAAGCACCGGCUAACUUCGU